rnacentral:tRNA from 1 species
GUAGGUUGUACGAAGUUAAUUUGCAUUUAGCUAUAGAGAUAGUUUAUU